UUCAUCUGUGUAUUGGAGGGCCACAAUGUCAACAACUGUGCAGCCUGGGCACAGCCCCACCCAGUUGCCACUUUCUUUGGGAGUUCUGCGCUGGGACUGGGGUUUUAUGACAUCGACGCCCCUGUGGGAAGAGAAGCAAGCUGGCUGAAUUUUAGGAACUGUGGAGAAGUCUGGAUUAUGAAAGGAGAAAUUAACAAGUCAUAUCUGAUGAAAAACCUUUCUGGUAUCUUCUGCAAAAACAUACAAUGGAUGUGGCAAAUCAGGCCGCUGUCAGAUGAGAAGUUCCUGGUUAGAUUUCCUCCCUGGAAAGAUGUUGAUGAGUUGAUUGAAUUCCCUGCUUUUGAUUUGCCAAUUGAUGGCAUCUCUAUGUCUGUGGAAAAAUGGACUGGCUCAAUCGACCCAUUCAGUGAGCUUAUUGAAGCCUGGGUGGUUGUUGAGGGUCUGUCCUCUAAAUGGUGUACAUGGAAAGUGCUAUCCCAAAUAGCCUCUAGCUUUGGAAUUCUUGUGGAUGUCGACUGGAAUGGCCUGAUGAAGAGUUUCUAUGAGAAAGUGAGGAUCAAAAUUUCUUGCAGAGACCCAACAAAAAUCCCCUUUGAAAGAAUUAUGGAAAUGCGGAAAAAACUGUAUAUCCUAUCCUUUACUGUGGAGGGCUUUGACCAGGUGGGAGCUGAUGACCCCAAUGAUGAUGAUGGCCCU
rnacentral:rRNA from 1 species